rnacentral:rRNA from 1 species
UUAGAGUUUGAUCCUGGCUCAGAUUGAACGCUGGCGGCAGGCCUAACACAUGCAAGUCGAGCGGAUGAAGAGAGCUUGCUCUCUGAUUCAGCGGCGGACGGGUGAGUAAUGCCUAGGAAUCUGCCUGGUAGUGGGGGACAACGUUUCGAAAGGAACGCUAAUACCGCAUACGUCCUACGGGAGAAAGCAGGGGACCUUCGGGCCUUGCGCUAUCAGAUGAGCCUAGGUCGGAUUAGCUAGUAGGUGAGGUAAUGGCUCACCUAGGCGACGAUCCGUAACUGGUCUGAGAGGAUGAUCAGUCACACUGGAACUGAGACACGGUCCAGACUCCUACGGGAGGCAGCAGUGGGGAAUAUUGGACAAUGGGCGAAAGCCUGAUCCAGCCAUGCCGCGUGUGUGAAGAAGGUCUUCGGAUUGUAAAGCACUUUAAGUUGGGAGGAAGGGCAGUAAGUUAAUACCUUGCUGUUUUGACGUUACCAACAGAAUAAGCACCGGCUAACUUCGUGCCAGCAGCCGCGGUAAUACGAAGGGUGCAAGCGUUAAUCGGAAUUACUGGGCGUAAAGCGCGCGUAGGUGGUUCAGCAAGUUGGAGGUGAAAUCCCCGGGCUCAACCUGGGAACUGCCUCCAAAACUACUGAGCUAGAGUACGGUAGAGGGUAGUGGAAUUUCCUGUGUAGCGGUGAAAUGCGUAGAUAUAGGAAGGAACACCAGUGGCGAAGGCGACUACCUGGACUGAUACUGACACUGAGGUGCGAAAGCGUGGGGAGCAAACAGGAUAAGAUACCCUGGUAGUCCACGCCGUAAACGA